UACGUAGGCAGCGAGCGUUGUUCGGAAUUACUGGGCGUAAAGCGUGCGUAGACGGUUAUGUAAGUCGGGUGUGAAAGCCCCGGGCUCAACCUGGGAAUGCCAUUCGAGACUGCAUAGCUAGGGUGCGGAAGAGGGAAGCGGAAUUUCCGGUGUAGCGGUGAAAUGCGCAGAUAUCAGGAGGAACACCGGUGGCGAAGGCGGGUCUCUGGGCCGAUACUGACGCUGAGGAGCGAAAGCGUGGGGAGCGAACAGG
rnacentral:rRNA from 1 species